rnacentral:rRNA from 1 species
AGCGAACGCUGGCGGCAGGCUUAACACAUGCAAGUCGAGCGGGCAUCCUCGUGGUGUCAGCGGCAGACGGGUGAGUAACGCGUGGGAACGUGCCCUUCGGUUCGGAAUAACUCAGGGAAACUUGAGCUAAUACCGGAUACGCCCUUUUGGGGAAAGGUUUAUCUGCCGAAGGAUCGGCCCGCGUCUGAUUAGCUUGUUGGUGAGGUUACGGCUCACCAAGGCGACGAUCAGUAGCUGGUCUGAGAGGAUGAUCAGCCACACUGGGACUGAGACACGGCCCAGACUCCUACGGGAGGCAGCAGUGGGGAAUAUUGGACAAUGGGGGCAACCCUGAUCCAGCCAUGCCGCGUGAGUGAUGACGGCCUUAGGGUUGUAAAGCUCUUUUCUCCGGGACGAUAAUGACGGUACCGGAGGAAUAAGCCCCGGCUAACUUCGUGCCAGCCGCCGCGGUAAUAC